rnacentral:rRNA from 1 species
CUACGGAGGGUGCAAGCGUUAAUCGGAAUUACUGGGCGUAAAGAGUACGUAGGUGGUUUGUUAAGUCAGAUGUGAAAGCCCCGGGCUCAACCUGGGAACUGCAUUUGAAACUGGCAAACUAGAGUAUGGUAGAGGGGGGUAGAAUUUCUAGUGUAGCGGUGAAAUGCGUAGAUAUUAGAAGGAAUACCAGUGGCGAAGGCGGCCCCCUGGACCAAUACUGACACUGAGGUACGAAAGCGUGGGUAGCGAACAGGAUUAGAAACCCUAGUAGUCC